rnacentral:rRNA from 1 species
UAGGGAAUAUUGGGCAAUGGGCGAGAGCCUGACCCAGCCAUGCCGCGUGCCGGAUGAAGGCCUUCUGGGUUGUAAACGGCUUUUCUCAGGGAAGAAAAAGACCAUGCGUGGUACACUGACGGUACCUGAGGAAUAAGCACCGGCUAACUCCGUGCCAGCAGCCGCGGUAAUACGGAGGGUGCAAGCGUUGUCCGGAUUUAUUGGGUUUAAAGGGUGCGUAGGUGGCCCUGUAAGUCCGUGGUGAAAGCCUCUCGCUUAACGAGAGAACUGCCAUGGAUACUGCAGGGCUUGAGUCCAGACGAGGUUGGCGGAAUGGAUGGUGUAGCGGUGAAAUGCAUAGAUACCAUCCAGAACCCCGAUUGCGUAGGCAGCUGACUAGGCUGGUACUGACACUGAGGCACGAAAGCGUGGGGAGCGAAC